UACAGGGGGUGCAAACGUUGCUCGGAAUCAUUGGGCGUAAAGCGCACGUAGGCGGAUAUUUAAGUCAGGGGUGAAAUCCCGGGGCUCAACCCCGGAACUGCCUUUGAUACUGGGUAUCUCGAGUCCGAGAGAGGUGAGUGGAAUUCCGAGUGUAGAGGUGAAAUUCGUAGAUAUUCGCAAGAACACCAGUGGCGAAGGCGGCUCACUGGCCCGAUACUGACGCUGAGGUGCGAAAGCGUGGGGAGCAAACAGG
rnacentral:rRNA from 1 species